rnacentral:rRNA from 1 species
UACGGAGGGUGCGAGCGUUGUCCGGAAUCACUGGGCGUAAAGGGCGCGUAGGCGGCUCAUGAAGGCUGUGGUGAAAGUCCGGGGCUCAACCUCGGAUCGGCCGUGGCGACUCGUGGGCUGGAGCACUGUAGAGGCGGGUGGAAUUCCGGGUGUAGCGGUGGAAUGCGUAGAGAUCCGGAAGAACACCAGUGGCGAAGGCGGCCCGCGUGGGCAGUGGCUGACGCUGAAGCGCGACAGCGUGGGGAGCAAACAGG